rnacentral:lncRNA from 1 species
GAGAAGGCUUCUUGUCAAUUGACCUGCAUCUGUCUUUUGCGCAUAUCUGCAAAAAAUCACUCAAAUGUAUUAAUAGCCGCAAUACAAUUUCCCUUGACCAUGAGAUUGAAUUUGAUAUUUUUAGUUAAAAUCAGGAACGUGUAUCGCCCAUUCCCAUGGAAAAAGAUGAAUACCAAAUAAAAACUUGUCAAACUAUUCUGGGCAACAACUAACAAAGGGCUUCCUCUAAUCAGGACCCUUAGUAUUUAAAGAAUGGUCAGAGCAGGUACAAGCAGCUAAUGCCAAACACAACAUGCAUGUUUUUGGCAAAAGUUGUAACUUCAAAGCACCUUGGAAACUUGUAAGGGUUGUACAAAACUUGUAACUUGUCAGUCACGCAGAACAAUCAACCAUGUAAAAUAAUUUUUAGAUGAGGCCCAUUGGCAGGAGUGUGAUAUCAGAAGAAAAUAUAAACACAAGCUUUUGGAUGACUUCAAUCAUUCAUUGUGGUGUGUCUUAGAAAUCACCAUAAAUAGAUGGUAUAUUAAUGAGUACUAAAAUGAUUAAAAUCCAAAAAUAUUGGUCAUAUUCGGUGUGCAGGGACAUAAUGUUGGUUAUACUCUAUUAACUUACUUCUGUAAGACUAUUAAAAUUAACAGUUAAUUUCCAUAAUUUAUAUUGAGGAAUUCAGUCGACAACCCUAUCCAAAUUUGAAUUCUGUUGAUGAAUAAUUAAUAUAUGGAAAGACGGACCCUUGGCUGUGAACAGGUUAUCAACACUUGAUAACUGCAGAUAACCAAAGCUGGACUGUAAUUUUAAGGUUUGGCUACGAAGGAUAUGAAACAAUUUCAAGGAGAACUAACUGUGAGAGAAGACUUACCUUAUGAUGAUGAUAAUGAAGUAGAUUAUUGUGGGGUUGACGACGACGAUGAUGAGUUUUAGAAGUAGAUGAUGAAGGUGAUUGACUUUAGGAGAAGAAUUCGCAUUUGCAGCAGCGGAUGAGGGUUGAGGAGGCUUCGUUUUUCGUUGAAAAGAGAAGAGAAGGCACCUAAAUGAGAUUUAUUAGGCCACAGCUUGACAGACUUCACCGAAAAAAAGCCUAUCAAAAAGUCCAAAUCAACAAUAGCUUCGUAUUCAGCUGAAACGCAUUAAUAGAUUUAGACCUGUUAGGACAAAAAAAAGUAACACAUUAUUAAGUUCAUUCCCGAAGGCUAAAAAAAGAUCUCAAGCUUUGAAAUGUUGAAAUUCCAAAUACUCGCCGCUGCUAAAAGACCAAUCUCAACUGAGAUAAAUAUCACACCAAAGAAAUCUUUAUUUGAAUUAAACUUGAAAGAUAAUCCAUUAGUAAAUGGCUUUGUCCAAUUGACCUGGAAUGUAAUCCAAAUUAGUCAUUACAAGCACAUAAUCAAUUAUAGUGUUUGUUGUCAACACUAUAUUGUUUGUUGUCAUUUAACAUGUACUUUGUGAUGCUGCCAACACCUAAAUUCCAUUAGUAGAUGUAUACUGUAGUUGCAUAUUAAUAAUUUAAAUGUGACAACAGUUACCAAAUCAUAUGACACCAAUCAUUCCAUUAGAAAUUACACUAUAAUUCACAUAUUAUACCUGUAAUUACAGUGACCGCCAGCUCCAUUCCAGUCAUCCUAUUAUUAUAAAAAAAAAAACCAACAGGUGGAGGAACUUGGAAUAACAGUUAGAAGAAAGAAGAAAAAUAAAUAAUUACGUUUGAGAUUAAAACUGAAUAACCAUUAUAGAUUAUAAGAACACAAAAAUAUAAGAAGAAUUUAAAAACAAAACUGAAAUUGAAAACUAAAAUGUCAUGUAAAAAAUAGAAACAAACAUUAAUUUUUCCUUUUUUACACAAAGAAGUAAUUGUACUACGUACCACUGAAAACCUAGAUAAUAGAAAAUCUUAAUUUAAUCCAACUGAGUGACUUAACCAUGUUUAACACUCAACAUGCCUUGGAAGUCCAAUGACUGUAGCCAUAUUUGAUAAGCACUAAGUGUGAUUAUGACCAAAAAUUUUUAUUUGAAAUAAACCCGAAAGAUAAACAUUUUUGGAAUAAAUAUAAAUGAAUAAGUAAAACUUACACUGGCUCAAUUACUGAAUUUAGCAUUGAUUGUGCUCGUUCCUUCUCUCUUCUUAUGAGUUGCCCUAGCUUUGCCUUACUUAUCUCUUCAGUUCCAUUUGAAAAUAUAGCUUCCAAUGACUUUGUUUGAGAAGUUGAAUCACUGCCAUGUAGGUAACAUUAUAAGCAUGUUUAUUUUAUGUUACAAAUAAUGAAAAUUGUUGUUCAUGUAAUUAAAUAAAAUAAAAAAAUUAUAUUAUCUAUGUGCAAUCCUUAUGCAUUGAUUUGAAAAAACUUACAUAGGUUCAAUUACUGAAUUUAGAAUCGAUUGCGCUCGUUCCCUUUCUCUUCUCAAACGUUGUCCUUGUUUUGCCUUACUUAUCUCUUCACUGUUGGUUGAAGAAGUUUUCACACUUUUGACAGGUAUUUUUUUCUUUGUCAUGAUUGUGCUCCAAGUACUACAUAAACAAAACAUAAUGAACAAUUAUUCACAAUUUAAUAACAACAAUAUUAUGGUAGGAAUAAUAUGCAAUUUCUUAUAUGAAGAUGGUACAUAAGCAAACUAAUGUCAAUGGAAAAAUUACUGGCAAAUAAAUGGUUAUUAACGAAUUACCCCCUUGGAAGAUCUCUUUGGCUCAUAAUAUUUUACACAUUCGAUUUUUACUCAAUUCGUUGAAAAUGUAAUAAACAUCAGACCUAUUAUCUAACCAUAGCAUGUUUAAUUUUCCAAUAAUUAAAUUGCAGUAUGUGUCAAUAAUAACUUAUGUAACCAGAAUUUUGUUGGUUAGCCUUCCUGGUUACACCAUUAAAUCAUUCAUUUAAUAUUUCUUUCUCAAGAUGCAACUUAUGCAAUGUGUGGGGAGGGGGAGGGGCUCUCGACAGGCGUCAGGCAUCAGGUCACUUUUUUUAGGGAGAGUUUUGCUAUAUUAAAUAGUGUAUGUUAUGAACUUAAUUUAAGGUCUGUCAAGAGUGCAUAAGCUAAAGUCUGAAAAUAUAUGUAGAUUGAAGUCUAGAACAUAAGAUAAAAUUUAUUACUUCGAUCUUUAUGAUUAAUAACGUGAACAAACAAAGAGAAAAUACCAAUUGAGGGAGAGGAAUGAUAAUAAUGAAAUAUCCUCUUUGAUAAUGUUAAAGACCCUUGGAAAAAAUAAACAUAUCAGCAUGUUUGACUAUAUUAGCUAGAUUGCUACCAUGACACAAACCUUCAUCUUACUCAAUUAUCUGUGUUUUCUGAAUUUACCAACUAUCGCUGUUUGCAUCCAACAAAAUCCACAAAUCCAACAAAACUCAAGACACUUUUUCUAUAGACAGCUUGUACAUCAUGGCAAGAGAAGUAAAGUUAGAUAUAUAAGGGUAAUUACCUGAUGAUUAUAUCAACACUACAAGGCUUGGUGGACUUCAAUGGAGAUACCUCUGGAGAAAUAAAGUUAAAUGUUAGCAUAGUUAUUCAUAGGCGAAAUUGUAUAUAAGUAUUGAAAGAAUUGACACAGCAAGUGGAACAUAUCUACUCAGAACCCACUGUUGAAUUCUAGGUGAUGGACCUCAUAAAAAUCUACUGAUGAAUGAUGAGUACACUUUUGUAGGAAUACUACUGGGCCACUACAUUUACUGGUUUUUUGUUCAUACAUCAAUCAAGAAAUUGAUUACUUAUGAUAUACAAAGUUGAGAAUACUUCCUGAUAAAUAGCUCUUACUAUUUUAAAAGGUUUACAAUCAACUUUUUACCACUUCCGAAUUUCACAACCAUGACCAUUAUAAGUGAGUCUUUCUAACUCUAAUAAUAAUGGUCCAAUAGUCUUACCAAAAUUGUCGCAUUCAUAAAGAGUUCGACUCAAAACUCACUCGAAUUGAUUAACUGAAUUUAGUCAUACAAAAAGGGUGACUAAUUAGUCAAAUCCAUACAAAAGGAUCCAACUUGUAUUUCAAUUGGGAAUUGUGGAAUUCAAGGAUCAUUAAAAAUAUGAAGAAAUUUGAAAUGAAACCAUUUCAUAUAAUCAACCGAUCAGAAACUAAUCAAUAAUAGCAAAUUAAACAGGAAUGUCUUACCUGGUCAUCUAUUUCAUCAGAGAUGUAAAGAACCAGAGAUAUAUGAAGGACUACAAUACGAAUGACACCGUAUUCCUGUAAAGAACCAGAGAUGUAAAGAACCGUAAUAGUCCUAAAUGGCGCCCAUGUUUUACAUAUGUGAAGAACUACAAUACGUUAUAAUUAAUUAAUACUAUAAUACCAAACAUCCAGUUCAUUAAGACUUACAUUUUUUUAUUUGCUAACGGUAAUUUAUAUUAAAGUUAAUAAAAAAAAAAAAUUACAAUGGAGAUUAUAAUAGCCCAAGCAUUCAGUUACAAACAAAUCUGUACUAUCCCACGUUAGGGUUCUCAAUAGGCAGGUUGUAUGGUGGCUUGCCUUGCCACCAGUGUCUCCCCCCUUCUCCAAGUGGCUACAUUUUUUGGUACACGCAUCAGACGCAAAGUUUGCUACUCUCUUGUUCAUUUAUGAGCAAGACAUUAGGUACUUAUUUUUUGACUUCCUCCCAUUCAGCCUUUAUCUUCCAGUGAACAGAGUUAUUUUCAAAUGACUUCAUUGCCGCUUCAGAAUCGGCUUCAACAGAUAAGUUGCUCCAUCCCUGCUUGGCAGCUAUUUUGACACCCUCUUUUAUAGGUAUAAACUCAACAAAAUAAAGUAUGGAGAAGGCGUCCCUUAGUUUUAAGAGGACAUAAUAGAGUAUCGAGUCUGACACGACGCCACCUAAGGAUACUUUUCUCUACUGAUGCAUGUAAAUUUCACUUAGAUAAGACUCCGCAGGCAAAGUGAAUCUGAAAGGCCCAAACUAAGACAAAAACCUGAGCACACAUGUUGGAAAAAAUUAUUGACUGAUAGGUGAAUGAGAUGAGAGUUCAAAACAUACUCUGGGAUGGCCUGUAUGAAGUAAUGAAACCACCAUAUAAGUUUGUCUUUAAACCAAUUAAGGGACCCACACAAAUCAAUUUUGAUUAAGCCAAAUUUGAAUGGUCUAAAGUGGACCAUGACCUCACUGUUGUUAGAUUAUAGAAAUGUCUGGUAGAAUGGAUUUUUGGUUAGGCAAUAAGCUUUACUAAAGCUUAUACUCAAGCCAGAUCUGUUCCCUAUAAGACAAGCCUUAGGCUUGUACAUGCUAGGUAUGUAUUGUAUACCAAAUCAUACCUUGUCAGCAAUCUGUUAUAUGCAAUUAUAUCACCUUGCUGUUUGUUAGAUUUUUUAAAUGCGGCAUUAAUCUUGGCAAAGCUAUUUGGUCCUACAAUUGUACAUUACUACGAGAUGAAUAAUUCAGAGGACAUAGGAAGUUAAAAUGAGUAAAAAAUGAAGCUUGGUCAAUUAAAAUAAAAAGUGGGUUAAGUUUUGAUACUUUUUAGUAUAAUAAAGCAACUAUCUUAGUCAUAGGCAUGAAACACUUAUCAUGUAAAUAUUUGACAAUGAGAAAGUGCUAGAAAAGGAGAAGGAAUAUAGAAAAUACCAGUGAAGAGGAGAGCUGUUGGAACAAUCAGCAGUUGCCAAAUUCAACAGAGAAGAAAACCUGAAGAAGACAAUUUAAUAUUUUACAUAAGCAGCCACAUGUCUAUGUAAUUUAAAUUUAACUACAUGAAUAUCUACCCGAUUGGAAAGCAAACUCAACUGCAUCAUCCAACUGUACAACAAAUGAACAAACCUAAUGCCCACAUGAACAAAUCUAAUUUACAGAACACGAUAUCAGUGAUAUAAUUAGUAAAAAGUAAUUUUGAGCUUACUUCAGAUCCUUGAACAAAUAAAGAACAAUUGGAAAUUUUUUAAUAACUGUAAUAUAAGAGAAAUUACAAACUACAGUUUAGGAAAACUAUAAAAACACUCUACACUGACGCAACAUAAAAGGUUAUUUAGGUUACAGAAUGUUAACAAACAUUAGUUCCAAAUUAUUUUAGUUACAGAAUGUUAGUUUGUACGAGUUUUAUUUUAUGUUCAAGCUCGACUGAUUUAGCUAUAUGAACUUGGAAGAAUCUCAAUCAAUCUUUUGAUAUAUUAUACGUUAUUAUUAAUUGUAAUUUGAUUAUAAUUGCAAUUAAAGAGAUUCAUUCAUUCAAAACUUAUUGUUAAUUGAAGUUUCAAUUUUAUAUGUAUUAGAUUGUUUGUUAACUGAUACUUUUAAAUUGCACUAAUAAACAAAGUUACCUUGUCAGAGUUGACAUAUCAUAAACCUUAGUUGAUCUAAUAGGACUGGUUUUGCUGAAUGAAUCCUUUGAUAUCUUUAUACUAAUCGGGAAAAUAUACAUGAUUGGUAGGUCGAUCACUUACACUACUAUUUGAUUUUUAUUCUAAAUGAUAUGUAUCACUUUUAGAAUACGAAUUCAUUUUGAUGGUUCUUUCAUAUUGUAAUUGAGAAACAUUCAUUUCUUCAGGUAAUGGACUGAUUUCUCAUAAUCGUUUUGAGCAUUUUUUUUGUAUUCCUGAUUUUCACUUUCUUUUGUCUAUCUGUUUUGUUACGGGACCAAAUUUUAAUGCAUAUUUUCUACAAUGUGAAUGAUGUUUGUUAUUCAGGGAAAGCUAUUGCCUUGGCUCUUGCAAAGAAAGGAAUCUUUUUGACCAUUGUUGAUUUUGCUGAAGAAAGGGGAAAGGAAGUUGCUUCACUUGCUGAAAAGGACAUUUCUAAGUUCCAUUCUGGUUUAAAAUUUCCACCAGCUCAGUUUGUUUGGUGUGACGUUACUAACACAAGUGAGUUGUCCAAUAUUUUUAUGAGAUAUAAUGGUAGUUUCUUUGUAUUUUUUUUAAUGUUUGAAAGUGAUCCUAACAAAAGUGCUGUGAUAAUACUUUCCCACAUUUGAUGGUUACAGUUUUAGACUUGUUUUCUUCAACUUUGAAAAUUUUGAAGCUAAAAUUUAUGUAGCUGCAUGCUUCCUUAGAGUUAGAUUUCGUGGUAUGUUCAGGAAGUAAUGGUAAAACUACAUAGAUAUGGCAAUUCAAAAUAAAAUCGUAAAAGAAUAUCAAUGUUCCUGUACCACAACUCUGGAUAAAAUCAUUUUAAAAAAAUGAAAAUAGAGAAGCAACAAGGAACUUACAUCACUGGCAUUUACACCAGCAUAUAUGACUUUGAGAAGGACAUCAUGAGGUCCUAUCGGUAACUUAAAUUGUGUACGUACAAUGCUAGUUGCAGCUCGAAAAUUGUGGUUGAGGGUGUGAACAACUCUAGACAAUAAGAAUAAAAUUUUACAGGUGAGUAUAUUUUAAUGUGAUGCAUGGAAGCAAAAAAACUACUCUCAGAUUGAACCAAUCUGCAAUUCUGGGCUUCUAUGAUGGGAAUUUGAGCAAGGAGAUCACUGAUGUGAGGAAGCUUUAACAGCUAGUCUAGUAAGAAUGGGAAGCAGAAAGAGAAAAAUAUGGAAGGCAAAGCAGCUAAGAGUUAGAUGAGAAAAGAAGAUCUCGUCUGAAAGAUUAAGACUUCAAAAACCAGAAAUAAAAUAAAUUUCCAGCCAACUGUUCAUCAGGUGGUCUCUAAUUUGUCAUCUCACAUUCUCAAAAAACAAAAUUGCCUGAAAGUUGGCUUCAACUGACAGCCUACAUACUCGGAUCAACAAGUAUCACAAUAUACAUGCCAAAGUACUCCAAAAUGUGGCAUGCUGCAGUAAGACUUACAUUUUUCGUUUAACAGCCCUACCUCCAUGGUUUGAGUAUGUGCAGAAUGUUGUCCUGGCACCACAAUGGAAUUUGAAUGACCACAGUGUGAUCUAUGUGAUUAAGGGUGAUGCUCAGGUUCAAAUUGUUGACAACUACCAACAACCUAAAGCCUGUGUACAUGGUUGCAGUCUUGAGAAGUUAUAGCUUGAAAUAUUAAUUAAUGGUGAAUUGAAUAAAAAUUUAAAAAAUUUGGUUAAUUAAAUAAGAAGGUAGAAGAUUACAUGGGUGUCAUAUUAGAGAAAUAGAGAUUGGCAGGGAUGUUUGUGAACAAUAACAGAUUGAACAAACAAUUAAUCAAAUUAACAGUUAAUUUCCACAAUUAAUAUUGAGGAAUUCAGUCGACAACCCUAUCCAAAUUUGAAUUCUGUUGAUGAAUAAUUAAUAUAUGGAAAGACGGACCCUUGGCUGUGAACAGGUUAUCAACACUUGAUAACUGCAGAAAACCAAAGAUGGACUGUAAUUUUAAGGUUUGGCUACGAAGGAUAUGAAACAAUUUCAAGGAGAACUAACUGUGAGAGAAGACUUACCUUAUGAUGAUGAUAAUGAAGUAGAUUAUUGUGGGGUUGACGACGACGAUGAUGAGUUUUAGAAGUAGAUGAUGAAGAUGAUUGACUUUAGGAGAAGAAUUCGCAUUUGCAGCAGCGGAGAGUUUAAUUUGGUUUGAAUUCCCAGCAAUACUUGAUGAGGGUUCGCAGAGAAGAGAAGAAAGAUUUUAAUUUGUGUGAUUGAAUAUAAUGAAAAGAAGAAGACGCUAAUUGAUGAGGCUUCGCAGAGAAGAGAAGAAAAAUUAAAAUUUCAAAUACAAAUCGCAACAGAUAGUGGAGAAGCCGAAGCGCAACAGAUCGCAACAGAUAGUGGAGGCUUCGUUGAGAAGAGAAGAGAAGAGAAGAGAAGAGGGUUUAUUGUUUUAUCCCGACCGUCAGAUCAAAUAUCACCAUCCUACGGUCCAAAAUAUCUCUCAAAAUUGUCUUUUAUAAAC